GGGGUGCGGUCUCAAGGGCACGUAUAUCCACAUGUGGUGGGAAUGCCCGAUCACAAAAGUUUAUUGGCAACAAAUUGCGCAGUUGCUGCAAGAAAUAUUUGAGAGGGAGGUUAAGCUAGACCCAUGGGUAUUUUUGUUAGCUAGAUCUAUAGAAAACUGGACGAAAUCAGAACUGACCCUAUUACAUAAGGUGAACCUAGCCGCUAGGAGAGCUUUGGCACAGGUAUGGUUGCGAAGAGAGGCCCCAGAAAUCGCCGUGGUGAUUCAGAAAAUUAAA